rnacentral:rRNA from 1 species
UACGGAGGGGGCUAGCGUUGUUCGGAAUUACUGGGCGUAAAGCGCGCGCAGGCGGUUCUCCAAGUCAGUGGUGAAAGCCCGGAGCUCAACUCCGGAACUGCCAUUGAAACUGUUGAACUUGAGGACGAGAGAGGUGAGUGGAAUUCCCAGUGUAGAGGUGAAAUUCGUAGAUAUUGGGAAGAACACCGGUGGCGAAGGCGGCUCACUGGCUCGUAUCUGACGCUCAGGCGCGAUAGCGCGGGGAUCAAACAGG